UCAAGAAAGUCUUAGCAUUUUACGUAUGUAUUACGUACUGCGCAUGGCAGGUUGGUGUCGUCACGCGGUGGAGGUGGGUGGAGCAACUAAUGGGGUGCAACGUUGUACGUGAACAGCUGAUUUGAUGCUUGCUCGCGCACUGCGCAGUACGUAAAACUUACGUAAAAUCCUAUGACUUUCUUAAGAGUAUAAUCUAUUUCCAUACUUGUAUUAAAGAGCUUUAGCGAUGGCGUCAUCGGCAUCUUAUCAGUUUAUCACGUGUUAUCAGUUAUAAACGGUAUUAAUAAACGGUGUUAUUAGUGUUACAGAAAUUACAGAUGUGUGAGAUGUGAGAUGGUAACGACAAACUCAAAAUGGAUGUGACAUGUAAAGCUACGGUACCUACGGUUCACAAUAUUAGCGAAGUGAAAUUCUACACAAUUCCAUCAACCUGACUAGUUUGCAAAGAAGAUUCGUUCCAUGCAUUGAACAAGGAACCGAAAAACGACAACAGAUGUAGGAAAUGCACUGGAAUGACACUCGUACUAGCAAAACUUCCGCUCCAGUAGUCGAAAAUUCGAGCUCCUCACGAAGAUGAAUUUUAUGAUGCAGUGGAUGAGUGGAACCGAGUUUAGAAUCUAGUGAUAACAAAAUGUCAACGAAACCGGAUGAAAAUGAGAAUGAUACCUUGCCCCAGAUCAACCGUUUGGAACAUCGUCUUUCGGCAGAGCUACUUUGGAAGCAAACGGCAUGGAAGUAAUGGAAAAAUUAUCGGAUGAUACGUACGCUUAUUUUUCAUCAAAAUACAUAAACGAGUCUGGCCCACACCUCAAAGAGACGUCGUGUUUUGGUCACAUAUGCGUCAUGCACCAAAAGAUGAACAAGAUGACCAAUCUGUAUAUAAUUCUUGCGUAGUCGUUAAUAAUUCCACAGAUGUUAUAUCUCAUCCUCCCAAUUCUGGCAAAUUCGUCCGAAUUUUUAUGACGGUAUGUUUAAUGUGCCUGAGACCAUUAUCUUAAAUCCAUCCAAAGACGUGUCUCAACUGAAUAGCUGAAUAGAAACGAAAUAGUUAGCUUGUGAAAUUACGUACUGUUCUGUUGAUAUAAAGCCAUGAAAAUAUCCAGAUUUAAAGUGGAAUAAUAAGAUUGUGACUUCAAGAAUCUCUCAGAUUCGAGAAAUGUUCAUUUUGAUCGAUGAUCGCCUAUGAAUAAGUGUGAAGACCGACGAGUUACCAGUCCUGUACCAAAAAUCGUCGCCUCUUUGCCAGCAUCACAAUUAUUUGCAGAAAGACUUGCAAGAAGGAACAGCAGGCGUGAAAUUUCAACUUCGAUAUUCGCUUUUUAGUGGUACCUUAAUGAGAUGCGAAAACUACUCAACUUUUUUCCUAUCGUUACAGUGUGCAAUUUCUUAUCAGAAAUGGCUUCAGAUAGGUCUUAAAAUUACAGAAAAUACAUUUCAGUCCUAUUCAGACGGAUGCGAUUACAGUUUUAAAUUUCUUCAUAAAAAAGAAACUAGCUCUUAUAGUUUUUUAAAGGAACUGUUCUAUAAAUUUCAACUAGUGGCCUAACAUUUAUGGUCUUUGAUUGAUUUUCAGAAAUAGCCUACAGUUACGAGCAUUUUGGAACUAAAAUGUAAAUACUGGGAAAGGAUGCGGGUUGUAACCGUUCAUCAAAUUAGACUGUUGUAUCGGCACGAAGUAUUUUUAUUGCCUGUUUUAUUUUAUUACAGUUUUUUUUCACUCAUGUGGCGAAAAUUUUUCUCAUGCGUCAUAUUUUUAUUUUGUAUCGAAAAGUAGCACGUUUAUUACUUUGUUAAUACGCUCAGUAGAGUCGACUGCAUACCAUUUCUGUUGAAAAAAAAUCAUCAUUCGUAUACAUAAAGUACAAUAAGAAAUGGAGGUGCAUUGUCUAGCCAUUUUCCGAAGUUGAUGUUCAAUUAUUUUCAAUAAGAAACAUUUUUCUGAAAAAUAAAAAAAUGCCUACU